AAUGGAAUUAAAGAAAAUAAAAUGGAAUUAAAGAAAAUAAAAUGUAAAUUAAGAAAACAGAAAAAAGGAGAGGCGUCUGAUCAAGCCACAUUAAUUGACGUGGCUGAUCAAACGCCCCACAUGCGCGCGCUCACCAUAGGCCUUAGUCAACUGAGUAACAUGUGGAAUUAAAAAAGUCAUAAGAUCCAAGAGCCAUGAUUCAAUCUGGAAAUCA
rnacentral:lncRNA from 1 species